rnacentral:rRNA from 1 species
GGGGGGGGGGGGGGGGGGGGGGGGGGCGGGGGGGGCGGGCGGAGAGAGGAGGGGCUUGCUCCGCUGACGUUAGCGGCGGACGGGGGAGUAACACGUGGAUAACCUACCUAUAAGACUGGGAUAACUUCGGGAAACCGGAGCUAAUACCGGAUAAUAUAUUGCACCGCAUGGUUCAAUAGUGAAAGACGGUUUUGCUGUCACUUAUAGAUGGAUCCGCGCCGCAUUAGCUAGUUGUUAAGGUACCGGCUUACCAAGGAAACGAUGCGUAGCCGACCUGAGAGGGUGAUCGGCCACACUGGAACUGAGACACGGUCCAGACUCCUACGGGAGGCAGCAGUAGGGAAUCUUCCGCAAUGGGCGAAAGCCUGACGGAGCAACGCCGCGUGAGUGAUGAAGGUCUUCGGAUCGUAAAACUCUGUUAUUAGGGAAGAACAAAUGUGUAAGUAACUAUGCACGUCUUGACGGUACCUAAUCAGAAAGCCACGGCUAACUACGUG